AAAUUGUGCUGUUUUUCUCUCAAAUGCCAUAUAACUUAUUGUUUUCAUUAUCAUUGCUUCUGCUGUUGUGGCACAGCAAGGUUAUCUGUUAUCUCAUGCACAAUAAAAAUAAAGAAUUAAAAAAACAAAAAACAUAUCUUAUGUCGACACUUGAUCUUUCCAAAGUGAUCUUCAACUAAGUGCAAGAAUAAGGUGCAGUAUCUGUGAAACAAAUACAAAAAAUAACAACAUAG